rnacentral:rRNA from 1 species
UAGGGAAUCUUCCGCAAUGGACGCAAGUCUGACGGAGCAACGCCGCGUGAGUGAAGAAGGUUUUCGGAUCGUAAAACUCUGUUGUAAGAGAAGAACAAAUUGUAGAGUAACUGCUACAGUCUUGACGGUAUCUUACCAGAAAGCCACGGCUAACUACGUGCCAGCAGCCGCGGUAAUACGUAGGUGGCAAGCGUUGUCCGGAUUUAUUGGGCGUAAAGGGGGCGCAGGCUGCUUCUUAAGUCUGAUGUGAAAGCCCACGGCUUAACCGUGGAAGUGCAUUGGAAACUGGGAAGCUUGAGUACAGAAGAGGAAAGAGGAACUCCAUGUGUAGCGGUGGAAUGCGUAGAUAUAUGGAAGAACACCAGUGGCGAAAGCGACUUUCUGGUCUGUCACUGACGCUGAGGCCCGAAAGCGUGGGUAGCAAACAGG